GCUGCUCCCCCUACAUACCUCAUAUCCCAUCAGCUCAACGGGCGAAUCGUACAACUGCUCCGCCCCUUCCCCUGUACUUGGGGUCAAGUGGGCUGGAGGAUCGCAGGGGCAGAGCUAAGAGAGCAUGAAGGCAACCAGGCCUGGACUGGGACCCACAGAGAGAAAACAUGAAAUGAAGGCAAGUGGGGGACUUUAUAGUGUGUGUGUCAAUCUAUUUCAGUCAGUAUGUUUGUGUGCUUAGGUCAGUGUGUGUCUGUCUGAAUCAGUGUGUGUGUCUGCUUGGGUCAGUGUGUGUGUAUCUGCUUGGGUCUGUGUGUGUGUGUCUGGAUCAGUGUGUGUGUCUGCUUGCGUCUGUCUGUGUGCAUGUGUCAGUGUGUGUAUCUGCUUAGGUCUGUGUGUGUGUCUGGAUGAGUGUGUGUGUAUCUGGAUGAGUGUGUGUGGGCGUCUGGAUCAGUGUGUGUCUGCUUGGGUCUGUGUGUGUGCAUGGGUCAGUGUGUGCACCUGCUUGGGUCUGUGUGUGUGUCUGGAUCAAUAUGUGCCUGCUUGGGUCUGUGUGUGUGUUUGGAUCAGUGUGUGUGUGUCUGU